rnacentral:rRNA from 1 species
UACGGAGGGUGCGAGCGUUGUCCGGAAUCAUUGGGCGUAAAGAGCUCGUAGGCGGUUUGUCGCGUCUGCCGUGAAAGUCCGGGGCUCAACUCCGGAUCUGCGGUGGGUACGGGCAGACUAGAGUGAUGUAGGGGAGACUGGAAUUCCUGGUGUAGCGGUGAAAUGCGCAGAUAUCAGGAGGAACACCGACGGCGAAGGCAGGUCUCUGGGCAUUAACUGACGCUGAGGAGCGAAAGCAUGGGGAGCGAACAGG